AGAGUUUGAUCCUGGCUCAGAACGAACGCUGGCGGCAGGCUUAACACAUGCAAGUCGAACGAAGCCUUCGGGCUUAGUGGCGGACGGGUGAGUAACGCGUGGGAACGUGCCCUUUGCUACGGAACAGUCCUGGGAAACUGGGUUUAAUACCGUAUACCCUCUUUGGAGGAAAGAUUUAUCGGCAAAGGAUCGGCCCGCGUUGGAUUAGGUAGUUGGUGGGGUAAAGGCCUACCAAGCCGACGAUCCAUAGCUGGUUUGAGAGGAUGAUCAGCCACACUGGGACUGAGACACGGCCCAGACUCCUACGGGAGGCAGCAGUGGGGAAUCUUAGACAAUGGGGGCAACCCUGAUCUAGCCAUGCCGCGUGAUCGAUGAAGGCCUUAGGGUUGUAAAGAUCUUUCGCUGGGGAAGAUAAUGACGGUACCCAGUAAAGAAGCCCCGGCUAACUCCGUGCCAGCAGCCGCGGUAAUACGGAGGGGGCUAGCGUUGUUCGGAAUUACUGGGCGUAAAGCGCGCGUAGGCGGAUUGGAAAGUUGGGGGUGAAAUCCCGGGGCUCAACCCCGGAACUGCCUCCAAAACUAUCAGUCUGGAGUUCGAGAGAGGUGAGUGGAAUUGCGAGUGUAGAGGUGAAAUUCGUAGAUAUUCGCAGGAACACCAGUGGCGAAGGCGGCUCACUGGCUCGAUACUGACGCUGAGGUGCGAAAGUGUGGGGAGCAAACAGGAUUAGAUACCCUGGUAGUCCACACCGUAAACGAUGAAUGCCAGACGUCGGCAAGCAUGCUUGUCGGUGUCACACCUAACGGAUUAAGCAUUCCGCCUGGGGAGUACGGCCGCAAGGUUAAAACUCAAAGGAAUUGACGG
rnacentral:rRNA from 1 species